CAAAUUUCAACCUGGCUUUACUGCUCCAAUAUUUGACAAGAAAAACAUAUUUCAUCUGCACUCCAAGCAUGAUCAUCAGCCGUUUCAGAUUGACCAUUUCUAAUUUCAUUAUUUCUCACAGUUUUCAAAGCCAUAACGUAUCGAGUGCGAUUGGAAUCAAUUGCAACAAAAAAGAAAGCCACAUGAAAAACACAACCCCAAAACCUCCCUGAUGUAGGAUGAAAGCUUUAUACAUGUUUCAAAAUUCAAGCUGAUAUUAACAUAAGGACAGAAUCAAAAUCAAUACUAGUGAUUAUAUGAACAUUAGGAAGAAGGCUAUUAACUUUCGCGGAUUGAACUCUUGUAUAUAUAAAUUAAAUUUCUAUGCCACCAACGAAGGUAAGGUAAAGAUCAAAAACAGAUUUUCAAGAACUGCUGUACAAUCCCUCCUUAUGGCAGCACAGAAAUAAAUCAAUACAAAGACAAAAAGCAAAAGAUCUAUAUAAUAAAAAGCCACAGAAACCAGCUUCCAUAUAUGUGCUUAUCAUUGAUGAACCGCAGAUUCAAUAUCUUUAAGAAGUCCAACUAUCUGCUGCAUGCUUGGACGCUUCGAGGGAAUGUCCGCUGUGCACAGAUAAGCAAUCUUGAGGGCCUCCCCCAUUUCAUGUUCUGGUCCUGUAUCACGAAUUUUUGAAUCAAUAGCUUUUAGCCCUUGGUUCUUCCUUACCAAUCCUCUAACCCAACUCACCAAAGUUGCAUCGUUUUCUUCAGGAUAAUCAUCUCCGACCGGCUUUUUCCCAGUAAUUAGCUCAAACAAAACAACUCCAUAGCAAUAGACAUCGGAUUUUGGUGUUGGGCAGUUGUUAUCUGGAUCUGAAAACUCUGGAGGAACAUAACCUGGUGAGCCACGAGCAAUCUCCUCAUCUAAACCACUGCCAAAGACCUUGCCCAGUCCAAAAUCAGAUAACCUUGGCUCCAGUUUAUAAUCCAGGUAAACACUGCUAGCUUUAACGUCUCUAUGAAUAAGUGGGGGUGAGCAACCAUGAUGAAGAAAUGCCAAUGCACGAGCAGUGCCAAGAGCAAUUUUGUGUCGAAAUCUCCAGGUUGUUAAUAACCCUUCAGAGCCAACAUUUUGAAUGCCAUUAUUAUCAUCUUCUUCCCAGGUGUCGGUGCUCCAAUCUUCGGUUGUUUGGACGCCAAGUGGCAAGUCAUGAAGUAAAUUCUGCAAGUUCCCAUUCUCCAUGUAAUCAUAGAUAGCAAUUCUUUGAUCUCCUGCUACGCAAUAUCCAGUCAAUGGAACAAGAUUAGGAUGCUUAAUUCGACCAAGAUACUCAAGCUCUCUUGCAGCUUCUUGGUCUGUCAAUGUAGAUCCAUGGACUAAAACUUUAACAGCUACAUGAAUUCCACCAGGCAGAAAUCCCCUGUAAACAGGCCCAAAUUUCCCUUCAGCCAAAAGGGUGCCUCUGUCAAAACCUGAAGUUGCAGAUAAGAGGUCUGCAAAAGUGAUAUUCAGCAAUGGCUUCUCAAAAAUCACUACAGGGACUGAUGUUGCCUGCUUAACAUCAGCAACCCAUGUGGUUGAAUCAGUAUGGAAUGAAAAUGGACCUGAAAUAUUUUGUUCAUCUUUGUAUGAGGUUUGUUUUACCGCCCACUUACUGGAUUUCCUUCUACAGCCGAUAGCCAGAAAUAGCAGCCCAGCGAGCAAGCAGACCAUUGAGAGGGUUAAGGCAAGAGCAAGUUUUAAUCCCUUGUGUUGGUUGGCCUUUCUUUUAAAGAUGCCUAGGUUUGCUGCAAUUGGGCAACUGUUUAAUGAUCCAUAGAAUUGUCUUUGGAAGAUUUCAGAGGAAAAUUCAGAAGCACAAAGGGUUAAGUUGUUGUAAGAGAAGUUGAAUCUUUCCAUCCAUUGGAGUUUUUGUAAGAGAGGCAAUGGGAUUUCUCCACUCAAAUUGUUAUGUGAAACAUCAAGAACUUGGAGGUUUUUUGUAGGUAAUAAAGGAAUUGAGCCACUGAGAUGAUUCUCAGACAGAUCAAGUGUACGCAGAUUACUCAAUUGUGCAAUUUCUCUAGGAACAUGGCCAACGAGACUAGUUUUAGACAAAUUGAGAAACUCUAAAUCCCCAAGCAUAUCAAUUCGUGGAAAUUCCUGCUUAUCAAAUCUAUUGAGUGCAAGAUUAAGGUAUUUGAGAUUUUGAGCUUGAUUUAGAUAGGGAAAAAUAUCCCCACUAAGUUGAUUCUCAGACAGGUCCAAGUAAAUCAAAUGAGACCAAUUGUAGCUAGAAUUGAAUUGUACCUGAGAAAUGUGACCUUGGAACUCGUUCCUGCUCAGGUCUAUCACCUCCAACAUUCCCAGAAACACACCCAUAACUGAACCAUUAAACAAAUUCCCAGAUAUAUUGAGACUUGUGAUGGAUUUCAUCUGCGAGAAAUCCGAGUCUCGCCCUUUGAUCUUGUUUCCUGCAAGGUUUAAUGUUUUGAGCUUAGGAAAUGUAGCACCAAAAUCAUCUGGUAAGGAGCCUUCGAGUUUAUUCAAGGAAAUAUCAAUGAGAGUCAGUGACCGGCAAUUUAGAAUUCCCAAUGGAAUGCUUCCUUGAAAACCAUUUCUGUCAAGCUUUAGAACUCUCAAACUCGAAAGGGAGCUUAUUGCUGCAGGAAUUUCACCACUAAAAUUGUUGCUUGAUAGAUCAAGUGAUUCAAGCAGACCAAAAUUGCCAAUGUUGUUGGUUAGAGACCCGGAAAUCUGGUUGGAAGAGAGAUUGAGGGUCGUGAGAGAGCCCAAACUCCACAUAUCUGAAGGCAAAGCAGUGAUUUUGUUGUUGCUAAGAUCCAAAGUAUGAAGCUUGGUUAGUGGCUUCUGGUGAUGGCCUCUCUGGUUCCAUUCCUGAUACCACCAUUGGCAAGCUAA
rnacentral:misc_RNA from 1 species